UAAAUUCAAAAAGUGUUUGAGUCUGACACGUGUAGACGUUGUGCCUUGUGGACCACAACUAAAAAGUUACUUGUGGUUCGAGCCUGUGUGUAAAGUGUUUACAGUCAUGUAGAGUGCGUCAAGGCAGAACGUUUGUAGUUGAGACACGAGAAGAUAACAACAAAAGGCCCUCUAAUGGACUCUUGAUAACAAUGAUAGUUUACAUGUCAAACAGAAUCGCUUUUCCAAGCUAUGAUGCAGUGCUGACGAGUGGGUCAGACUGUGUGACAGGUGGAAAAGUCAGAAGGCUGCAGCUCGUCUUCAUUCCUUGACCAUGAGCUGACCUGGUAGUGGCAACAGUCAGUUGGGAAGUGUUGGACUCGGUUCAAGGGUCGUUUCCCUCCCAAUAGUGCCAGAGAACUGAAGUGGACUUUUGGCACGGCAGUGUCCUGACACUCACGACUUGAGGCUUAUGGGCCAACAAGUCAUUUAGCAGUUGCUGAAGAAAGGAACCGGGACUGAACCCAGCCGUCUUCUUGUUCAUUCAGGCCCACGUGUCAUUUUUACCUUCACUGAAGAAAGGAGAUGACACAGGCAUCAGCUUCUUGUUUGCCUGUGUAAAGGUGCCAGCAGAAGUAUUCAAGAUGGAUUGUUAGUGCCAACCGCCACACCUCAAAUUGCACUGCUCUUCACUCAAGCCUUUUGAUUUGUGUUCGACGUUUUGGUCUCUGGCCGUCGUCCAGUAUGAUGGAGAGACGAGGACGCUGGGCGAAGCAUGGCGAAUUUUGAGUUCGCACUCCAAUUAGAGUCGAACUCGGUGAUGAAAUUCGCCUUGUGGCCAAGCCAUGUUGUUUGGCUGUUGCAACAAGAAUCCAGCACAGACAUUCAAUCUUUAAGGUCGAGCGCCAUUGCUGGUGUCUCAGCUGGAGCAUGUGCGACUUACUGCAUCUGCGAAACAAUCACGCUUUUGAAGAAUUUUCAGAUCUGACGAGGUCGUUGAUGUGAUGAUUUGACCAUGUCGAUAUCCAGCCAUUUAGAAUUCUCCAGGAGGUUGCAAACUAUCCAGGACACUAUCCAGGACAGUAUCCAGGAGUGGUGAUCACUUCAGAAUGCUGGCUAAUACUUGUCACUCCAAACGGACACCUCCCGACGUUCGAUUUCAGGCAAUUUACACCCUUUCCUCUUGUGGUGCAAGAUAAACCCACCGAGGAGUUCUUGUGCUCCCUAACACACAUGGUGAAAAUCGAGUGGAAAUCACAGCAUGCAAUACCCGUUCCGGCUGCGCCGCUGCUAUCAAUGAAAGGUGAUGUGGUGCUCCAUGAUCCACUCACCUGGUUCACAGGUCUGGUUAUUGCAGACUCCAAUCGCUCUGUUCAGUCCCUGGCAGCCACCGGCGCUGUUCGAUAUACACGUACGCUCACGCCACUGCUGGCCUCCACCACAGCUGGCCGUGCAAGACGACCACACACUCCAGAAGCCCCAGCCACGCUCUAAUUGAGGGUGGGAGAAAGCUGGAACGUAGUGGACGUGGCUGGCAAUGCUGAGUAACUAGCAGCUUGGUAGUAAUGUGUAGCAGCGGGAGAACUAGCCAUGCUUGCCAGUGAUAGCUGGGAAGAUGUAGCUACGGCUGAGCCAACUGCUAGAGUGUACAGCUCUACCUGAGACGACUUCAAACUGGUGGCAAGCGUCACGCUACUCGAGUCCACGGUGACCCCAUCACCUGUGGCAAACAGCAUGCACGGAUGCGUAUCGGCUGUAGGCGUCGUGACAAGCCUGUUCUCUGCCCACUGCAGUGCCACACUGCUAUCAGCUGCAGAGCUUGCAGGCGGUGUGUAGGCUAUGGAUUCAAUGGCUGCAAGCAAGCUGGCCAGUGUGGUGUCGCUCAGCUGCGCAGAGUCGAAUAUCACCUGAGCGACAUCACUAUAGAGAAUGAUUGAAACACGCGAUCCUCCCGUGCUGGCUGAUGGCUGCAGUGACCUGAUCAUUUGCAUGCAGAACCACUUGAACUGCUGGAAGUCGUACGCCGUCAUGCUGUGUUGAGACGGAAAGCAGAUGACCAGGUCCAACGGCUGUACGUUAGUGUGCACAGCUACGGGAAACACACACAAGCACACGUGCACACGCGUACACAACAGACAUAAUGUGUUUACAGCGCCAAGCAAAUGACUGCCUUGCGCAGUUUCUCCGUACCACCGGUUAUUCGGCGUACCCUGUGAGAGUAAUGUGCACGUAUUGAAGUCGGAUAGUUCUGACCUAUCGUAGCCUGCAUCUACCAAUGCUGUGCUGCUGCCGUGCAUGUAUUCAAGUCCAGUUCUGUUAUGUCACUGUAUUAACUGUUGUUUUUCAUGGCCACAAGGCUUGUUCUUUUGACCCACCAUACACGUACCCACAACUUGCAUCUCUAUAACACACACACACACACACACACACACACACACACACACACACACACACACACACACACACACAUCACUGUAUCUGCCAUCGUUGCAUCGAGCACACAAAGUCACUUACCUGG